UCCCCCAUGGCGCAAUUGGCUAGCGCGUCAGACUGUUAAUUUGGAGGUUCAUAGUUCGACCCUAUGUGGGGGAG